GGUUAGGAGGAUGUUGGCCUGGAAACCGGGAAGGGGAGUAACAAUCGAAAUGUAAAUAAGAAAUACUCAAGUUAAUAAAGAUCAGGAAAAAAAGAGGAAAUAAAGAAAUACAGGAAAAUAUAAUAAAAAUAUAAGAAAUAUAGGAACAUACAAUUAAGCAAAAUACAAUCAAACAGGUGAAAGAAAUGAAUAAAACUGUUUGAGACUUGAAAAUGGAAAUAGAAGCAACAAAGAAAAGACAAACGGGAAUCUUGGAGAUGGAAAACCUAGGGAAGAGGAGAGGAACUAUAGCCAACAGAAUACAAGAGAUGGAAGACAGAAUCUCAGGCCUGGAAAAUAUGAUUAGGGAAUGGAUACAUCAGUCAAAUAAAAUGUUAAAUCUAGAAAGUUCUUGACACAAAACAUCUAAGAAGUGUGGAAUAUUAUUUAAAAAAAUCAAACCAAAAUUAAUAGGACUAGAAGUAGAAGAUUCCCAGCUCCAAGGCCCAGAAAAUGUUAUCGGUAAAAUCAUACAGGAAAACCUCCCCAACCUAAAGAAAGAGAUGCCUAUAAAUAACCAAGAAGCCUACAGAACACCAAAUAUAUUAGACCAGAAAAGAAAGUCCUCCCUCUACAUAAUAAUGAAGACACUAAAUGAUGGAACAAAGAAAGAAUAUUAAAAGCUUCAAGGAAAAAAGGCUACGUUAGAUACAAAGGCAGACCUAUCAGAAUUACACCAAACUUCUCACCAGAGACUGUGAAAGCCAGAGGGGCC
rnacentral:lncRNA from 1 species